GGCGGGUGAUGAUCAUAUAAUUUCUUAUUCUUGUUUUCAGCUUUGUUGAGGCAUUUAAAUUUCCUUCCUGGUUUCAAGUACCAUUUAAGUCGUUGGUUGGUAAUUUAUUACUAUCAAUCUACAGAAAUUUUUGUUACAGUGGUGUUGCGGAACCACUGAGCAUACUCGUACUGUAGUUGAGUGAGUUCAGUACCGCCCAAGGUUGUCAAUGUCAGUUAGCCGGAGCAUAGACGUCAGACAACAAACAGCGUGGCGAAGUGUCACCAGGAGCAUAAACCAGAAUAAAACAAUACCUGACCGAGUGCACCAGCUGAAUGAAAAUUAAAGUCAAGUCAGUGGUGAAUUUAAGUGCGAAUUUGUAAUUAAUUGAAUUUGUGAAUUACAGCGUUUAAGUAUCGCACAGUACACAGUCCAGAUCACAGUCAAGAAUUGUUAAUUGAUCCUUAAGAGUAAGUUAAAACUUAUGAACUACAAUUUGCCUUAUUAAUAAUUGAUUAAAACCUAAAUAGAAUAACAUGCAGUGCUAGCGGAACAGUUUCGGAAGAUUUGAAGCUAAAACAGAGAACAACACGAAAAUGUAAGAUGUCUGAAAUCUAUUAAAAUGAGGCCGUUAAAUUACAAUAAAAUCUAUACUAUUUCAGCUUUGAAGCUGCUGAUUGCUGCUGUCAAA